CUGGCUGGCUGGCGAGAGGAAGCUGCAGAUUAAUGAAUCGGGUCGUUGGCAUUGUUCAGAUUGCUGAACUCACAUUUGUAUUUAGUAAUAUGGCUUUUUCAAAAUGGCGUUUCUUCUUCCCAUAAGUCGUUGCUUUUGAAACGUCAUCUUGUAUUUGAACACGGGAUUUUUUUUUAAAGGACCUGAGGCUUUAGCAAUGCUGAUUUAUAUCCAGAUGCUCCAAUACAACAAUCUAAUUCGAGGCUAGCUGGUUCCUCUCCUAUGCAGCAAGAGGAUUGUGGUUAUGUGUUUGUUCUGUGAGACGAGCAGACAGACUAAAUGUGUCCAGGCUACCAAUACAGUGCUUGGGAGCCAAAAUGCCAUCUUUGCCUGUCGAUUAGACCACAGCUACUUUUCUUCCACUACCUAACACUGCAUGGUGUGGGUGCCUGUGCACAAGUCGAAGGCUGACAACAUUGCCUUGCUACACCGAUCUAAUACGAAUCUUAUGAACAUGUUCGUUGAGUGGUUGACAGACUGGGACCUGACACUGGACCGCAUUAAAGAUUUGGUGCUGACAAGCUUGUAUGCAGUGCGGGAGUGUGACGUAACGGCUGUGACCACCUUUGCCUGUGUUUUGGGGCUUUUUGUGUGGUAUUGCUACCAUGUAGGCAGCGAGCAGCCCCGCAGUCACACACCAGUGAAUGCCAUCAUGCAGAAUGCUGACAUAAAUGGGUUGCAGAAUGGUUACACAUGCUGUCAAUCCGCCGAUUGCAUAAGGUGCACCCAUAACGAGGGACGCAAUCAGAAACUGUAUCACAAUCUACAGGAGUAUGCCAAGCACUACUCGUGGUCAGGAAUGGGACGGAUCCACAAGGGAAUUCGGGAGCAGAGCCGAUACUUGAACACUAGACCUUCCAUCCAGAAACCAGAAGUUUUCUUCCUGCCUGACCUACCCACGACUCCAUAUUUUUCACGAGACGCCCAGAAGCAUGACGUAGAGUUACUGGAGCGGAACUACCAAACCAUCCUGGCUGAAUUUGAAUUGAUUUUCAAGGCAUUCUCAAACUGCAGCCUUCCACAGGGCUGGAAGGUUAAUACCACCCCAAGAGGCGAUUGGUUCACCUUCUAUCUGGUUAACCAGGGCAUCUGCCUUCCCAGUAAUUGCAGAAGGUGCCCUCGGACGUAUCGAUUACUAGGCAGUCUUCGCACUUUCAUCAGUAAUAAUGUCUUUGGGAAUGCAUGUUUCUCUGUUUUGAGUCCAGAAACACUCAUCACCGAACACUACGGACCCACAAACGUCCGGAUCCGCUGCCAUUUAGGGGGUGUCAUGGAAGACAAGAGACUGCAGACGCUGAAAUUUGGAACGAACGAAAACGUUGUUGGAGGAGUUUAGCAGGUCAGGCAGAAUCCAUGGAGGGACAUUUUGGGUCAAGAUCCUUCAUCUGGACCAAAAGGUAGAGGGGAGAUCAUAUUCUUCCACUCCAGGUCUUGCAUCUGGAUCAAAAGGUAGAACCAGAUCAUAUGUUUUCACUCCAGGUGAAGGGUCCCACUUUGAAGUAUCAGUCAUCUAUUUCCCUCUGCUUGACUUGCCUGUUUUCCUGACCCCCUUGUUAUAAAUUCUGGGCUGAUGCAUUGGGACUCAUUCAGGAUCAGUAUUUAUCUCGUCUGCUCAUUACCAAUUUCUGGUUGUGAGAACUUACCAUGUACAAGCCAGCUACUAUAUAGUGUAGCAACUUCCUCACGUUAGUAAAGGUUAAUUGAAUUCAGGAGGCUAGUGGUCAUGAAAGGAAUUUGUAAUAAUGCAGCUCUGGUCUUCCUGUGAAUAAAGUGUUGGAGUGAUUUACCAGGGUCACCAUCUAGUCCGGGUAUUCUGAAGUGCCUUAUGCUACCUAUUACAAAGAUAUAGAACUACUUGCAUUCAUUUUAAGAGAAUUAGAAUAUGAAAACAAGGAUAUAAUACUGAGGCUUUAUAAGGCAUUGGUUCAGCCACACAGAGCAUUGUUAACAGUUUUGGGCCCCUUAUCUGAAAAAUAGAUGUGCUGGCAUUGGAGAGGGUUCAGAGAAGGUGCACAAGAAUGAUCCUGGGAAUGAAAGGGUUAAUCUGUAGAGAGCUUGAGGCCCUGGGCCUUUACUCACUGGAGUUCAGAAAAAUGAAGGCGGGAUCUCAUUGAAACCUAUUAAGUAUUGAAAGGCUCAGAUAGGGGGGACAUGAAGAGGAUGUUUCCUAUAGUGGAGGAGUCUGGGACCUGAGGUCAUAAUCUCAGAGGAACAUCCACUUAGAACAGAGAUGAGGAGGGAUUUCUUUAGCCAGAUGGUGGGGAUUCUAUAGAAUUCAUUGUCAGGGACAGCAGUGGAAGCCAAGUCAUUGGGUAUAUUUAAAGCAGAGAAGGUUGAUAGGUUCUUGAUUAGUAAGAGUGUCAAAGGUUACGGAGUGUUAGGAGAAUGGGGUUCAGAGGGAUAAUAAAUCAGUCAUGAUGGAAUGGAUCAGACUCAAUAGGUCGAAUGGCCUAAUUCAGCUCCCAUGUCUUAUGAUCUCAUGGGCUUUGUUUCUUGUUUGUUGAUGUAUGUUUAUACCUUUGCUUAAAGAUUAAUGUUCGUAAUGAAAUUGUCACAAUUUAUAAAAUAAUAGUCUUGAAAAUGAGUACCAAAUAGUUAUAUCAUUGGUAGACACGUUCAGAACAAAAUAUCAGGUGAAAGUCAUUCAAUGAUUUGCAUGACAGCAAAUUUGAAGCACUUUAUGCUAGAAACAAGAAGCUGGGGAGUUCAGUAGCUCACUGAGUUAAUGGUUUAUACAGUGAUCUACUAAAUAAUAGCCAUCAGGAGCUUAAUCGACACUCCAUCUUAAAGUUAACCUGUUCCACCAUCCAGUACUUGGUGAUGAACAACCUCGACCUGCUGCAGUUCAUGCCAUCGCCUCAGGGACGACUCAGGAUAGCAGCUGGAACAACACUGCACCCUAUAAUCUUGUUUUUAAGAAGUACAAAGAACAAAUGGAUGACAGAUGAAAUCAAAAAUCUAAUGGAAGAAAGCAAACCCUAUAGAAUAUGAGUCCUUAGAUUAAAAAAAGUUAAAAGCUUAUGUCAAAAAGCCAAAGAAGAAUGGUUAAACCAGGAAUAUGAGCAACUAGAAAGAAUCCCUAUUACUGAUUCAAAAAAGUUACAUCAACAAAUCAAGAAUAUCACUGGUAAAGAGCUCCUCUGUUCUUCAGGUGGAUGUUUGAAAGCAAAGGACAGUACCAUUAUCAUGGAAAAAGAUGAGAUUAUGAACAGAUGUACUGAGUAUAUUCAGGAAUUUUUUUAAAGAUGAUCAAGGCGAAAAACCAGAAAUUAAGAAAAACAUUAAAGGUCCAAGUAUUUUAAAAUCUGAAGUUCGUAAUGCAAUAAAUAAGAUGAAGAAAGGAAAGGUCCUGAUGAAUUAGUAAUAGAACAAAUUAUCACCCUUGAAGAUUAUGGAAUUGAAAAACUUACUGAUUUAAUCAAUGACAUUUAUGAGACUGGAAUAAUACCAGAAGAGAUGAAAAAAAUCUAUAUUUAUCACUCUUCCUAAGAAAGCUGGAGCAAUAGAAUAUGAAUUACAUAGGACCAUAAGUUUAGUGAGUCAUAUCACCAAGAUACUUCUAAGAAUUUUGAUGACAAGUGCUAAAAAUAAGAUACAAGCUGAAAUAGGUGAUGAACAAUGUGGUUUUGUGAAAGACAAAGGUACAAGAAAUAGGAUACAGUUGGCCCCACUUAUCCGUGGGGGACUGGUUCCAGGACACCUCCCCGCCCCGUGGAUACCAAAAAAUGCGGAUGCACGUCCCUUAUAUAAAAUGUCCCUUAUUUGCAUAUAACCUAUGCGCAUCCUCCUGUAUACUUUAAAUCAUCUCUAGAUUACUUGUAAUACCUAAUACAAUGUAAAUGCUAUGUAAAUAGUUGUUAUGCUGUAUUGUUUAGGGAAUAAUGACAAUAAAAAAAAAGCCUACACAUGUUCAGUACAGACACAACCAUUGUAGCUCUUCUGGGAUUCUCCCGUGAUCUUUAAGUUCUUGAGGCUGUAGCGCUUUCCAUAGCUAGCCAGCCAUCCCUUACUAGCCUUAAACUCCUUCCUCCUGCUCAUAACACAAGACGCAAGGUGAACAAUGCUCAAACGAGUGCUGGAGAGAGAACUUCCGGGUUUUCCCGAUUCGCAGUUGGUUGAAUGUAUAUAGUGAAAUAAUAUUACAAAAUAUAAGAGUCAUUGGGAAUCAAAAUUGGCUGUGAAAAUAUCAGUAAUUUCAGAUAUGCUGGUGACACUGUGUUAAUUGCAAGUAUGGAGGAAGAAUUACAAAACUUAAUUGAUAUAGUUGUUGAAGAAAGUGCAAAAAUGGGUCUGUCUAUCAAUUGCAAAAAGACAGAUCCAAAAAGGAGAAUCCUAUCUGCAGGCUGAGAAUAAAUGGGGAAGACAUAAAACAAGUACAGAACUUUUGCUACUUAGGAAGCUGGAUGACAUCAGAUGGCAGGUGCGACAUGGGCAUCAAAAAAGAAUAGGGAUGAUAAAAGAGAAUGAAGAGAAUACUGAGCAAUGCUAAACUAGGCACAACAACCCGCUCAGAGUACCGAAAUGUUACAUUUAUCCAGUUAUGUUAUAUGGCUCAGAAUAUCUAGUAACAUGAGGAAGCGAAUUGAAGUAGCGGAGAUGUGGUUCUUGAGGAGGAUGCAAAGAAUAUCAUGGACAAAAUGAAUAUCGAGCGAGGAUGUCAUGAACAGAGCAAGCACAAAAAGAGAAAUAAUGUAUGAGAUUAUGAAAAGGCAACGUAACUUCAUUGGACAUGUGAUUAGGAAAGAGGAGUUAGAAUGCACGGUAAUUAUGGGAAAGAUUGAAUGGAAGAAAGCAAGUGGAAGGCAAAGACAAAUGAUGAUGGAGACCUCAGCCACAGAACUGGAAAUGAAUACCAAUGAAUUGACCCACUUGACCUGAAACAGGAGUGUGUGGGCCAUGGUAGUCAAAGCUCAUCUGAUGAUGACUCAUGUUAGGGUGAAGAGGGCAACUUUGGCCAAUAUGGAUUCUUGAAAGGAAAUUAGUGAUGUCAGACGAGUAUAAGUUUGAAGUUAGUUGAAAGGACUGCUAAACUCUCUGAUGUGGGUGAAGUAGCAAAAGGCAGUUCCUAUGAGACCUGCUGUUCAGCACUCGAGUUGGAGGAUAUUGGCUAAAACGUGCUACUUGUUUAUAGUUAUUCACUUUCUGUGCCAGCAGUCCUAUCACUGUUUAAGUGAAACACAAAGGAAGACAUUGCAGCCAGACCUUGUGAAAAUGCUGCUCAUAUCACAAACCUGCAGCAAUCUGAAUCUGUCCCUUCCUACUCUGAGAACUGCCAACAGGAAAUGCAUUCUGUAGUAUUGGCUGUCCUGUUUAAUUACACCAAUGGGAAAUGAUCUGAGAGGUGAGUGGCAGUCCAAUAAUCUUAACCUGCCUAACCCCAGUUGAGCUUUCCCAGGAGAUCAUUACCAAUAUAUUAUUUAAUUUUAGAUACUGCCUGAUAACAGGCCCUUCCAGUCCAACAAGCCCAUGCUGCCCAAUUACACACAUGAUCAAUGACUUAUCCGUUCGUCUUUGGACUAUGGAAGGAAACCGGAGUACCUGGAGCCACGGAGAGAAAGUACGAACUCCUUACAGUGGUGGAUUGCUGGCACUAAUAGUUUUACAUUAACCACUGCACUACCUGGGUUGUGACACUCUGCCUCUCUCUUUAUCUUCCAUAUCCCACCUUAUUUUGCAUAUCUGCUACUUUGUAACCCGUUUUUAACCUUUUCUAUCUCUUUUAUCAAAUCUUCUUUGACUUAAUCUUCCUAAACCUUUCUUAUCCAUCCUCGUGCAUAGUCCUUUGUGCAGGUGCUGUGUCUGUCAGUAGGCUGUUACUAUAUGUUUAUUUUCUUUCUGGACAUUUUCUUUCCUCUCCGUCUUCAGUCUAUAUCAUUCUAUAUCUUUCUUUUCUCAUGAUGUUUGAACUAGAUGCAGUUGCUUCUUCAUCUAUGUGCACAUUCCUGUGUCCCCCUCCCUUAUUUUCUCAUAACCUGUGCCACCUCAGCUCUUUUAUCCUCUGGUGUCACCAUCUUGCCUUCCUCUCUUUGUAGAAGAAUUAUGUCCAUUUGUGUGCUCCUCUGUUUUUUCUUUUUUGCUCUCAUCUUCUUGUAUUCCUUCAGGGUUUUAUUUUCUUUAAAGGUGCAGCACAAUAACCAGCCCUUCCAGCUCGACAUGCCCCUGUUGCUCAAUUACAGCAAGUGACCAAUUAACCCACCCUCCCGUAUGGUGAAGGGGAGAAUGUAGAAACUCCUUUCAGACAGCAGUAGGAAUUGAACCUAGAUCAUUGGGCCUGUAAUAGUGUUAUGUUAAGCACUAUGCAUGAGGUUCUUUCUUUUGUUUUCCUCUUUAUAUUCACAGUGUAUGUAUCCUUCCAUCCCCAUUCAUUCACCUACAUUCCUUUUAUCCUCUGUCUUUUACCCUCUUUCUACUCACAUUCCAUGUAUCCUUCCAUCCCAUUCAUUCACUUACAUUCCUUUUAUCCUCUGUCACUGGGUUUGGGGUUCUCAUGUUUCUGUCAUUCAUUCUUUGGGGUUUCUUGUUUUGUGGAUGUGCAUGAACAGUAAGAAUUUCGGGUUGUAUAGUGGAUACAUUCUCUGAUAUUAAACUGAACCAUUGAUCUCUCUCAUUCUCCUUUGCUCUUUGCUUUCUUCUCUGUUCAACCUCUAAUUUAUUUACUUCUCUUGUUGUCAGUAAUAGUUAAAAUUAACCUGGCCAUUCUGCAUCAACUGCGCAGUGGCAAUAAUUUAUUGCCAUUAGUUCAGCAAAAAUGCUCGCAUUUUAUUCCACAUAUUUUCAAAUGACAGAAGGAAUCUGUUUGCCACAUUGAGCAAUGCCUGGUUACAUAAUCCUUCUUCUGCUGUUUGUUUUGCCUGUAACCGAUUCCCUUUCUCGUGCCAGUCUGUGAUUCUCUUGCCACCCACCUACACUAGAUGCAAUUUGCAGACACAGUUUUGGGAUGUGGGAGGAAACGAAGCACGGAUUCACAGAGAGAAUGUGUAACCUCAAUCUGAGUUGAAUUUAUUAUCUUAUACAUAAGUCAGGUGAGGCCAAGGUGCAAUGAAAAGCUUUACCCAGAUAGUACAAGUAUUUCUGGGGUUGUGUGAUGACAGCACUAACUAUGCCAUCCUGUCAGACAGCCUGUCGAGUCUGUACUUCCAUUCAAUUGUGGCCGCUUGAUUUUCCCUCUCAACCCCAUUUUCCUGUCUCCUUCCCUUAAUUUUUGACACCCUUAUUAAUCAAGAUACUAUCAACCUUCACUUAAAAAUAUACCCAAUGACUUGGCCUCCACAGCUGUCUCUGGCAAUGAAUUCCACAGAUUCAUCACCCUCUGGCUAAAGAAAUUCCUCCUCAUCUAAAUGGAUGUUCCUCCAUUCUGAGGUUGUGCCCACUGGUGCUAGAUCCCCCCCCCCCCCACUAUAGGAAACAUCCACUCUAUCUGGAUCUUUCAAUAUUCAAUAGGUUUCAGUGAGAUCCCUCCUCAUUUUUCCAAAAUCCUGUGAGUACAGGCCCAGAGCCUCCAAACACUUCUCAUAUGUUAACCCUUUUCCUCUGGGAUCAUUCUCGUGAUCCUCCGUUGGACCGUCUCCAGUGCCAACAGACCCUUUCUCAGAUAAGGAGACAAAACCACUCAUAAACCACUCAGCUUUGGAAAGCGGCCAGUGAAGGAGUGGAGAUUUGAGGCUUUGACGAGAAGAGGCGGUGGACGAGCUUGUUCCCAGUUAGUCUUUACAAUGCCUCCUGAGACGGUGAUGUGCCUUUCCUGUGAGAUGUGGCAGUCUUGGGGGAACUCCCCUCUCCCGCAGAGUCACAUCUGCCAGAAGUGCAUGCGGCUGGGCAAUCUGGAAGACUGUGUGAGGAAUCUGGAGCAGCAGCUGGAUGACCUUCAACUCAUAAGAAUGAGGCAGUCGGGGGGGGCGUCACGCGAUGACAUAGGGUCGAGACGUUGGGAAUCCAGCUCCCUCGUAAAAAGUAAUGAAAUAGGGUUUAAGUGAAGAAGAGUUAACAAAUACCUACUAGAAACUAUUUAUAAGCAACUCAGGAUUAUUUUUAGAUAUGGCUCCUAAACGAAACAGAAGAAAGCUACUACUUCAAAGACUGCGCAAGUCAGCGGGGAAAAAGGCCUAACCGUCUCGGCGAAGCCUCGUACUCAAGUUGGAUCUCCUCCCGGCGAAGUGCAUGGCACUUCUGAUGGUGCAGGGCAGAAAGUUGCGGCAAUGCCGGCGGUCUCUAAGAAGAAACGGCAAGAACAACGCAUGCGCGAAGAAACAAGUAUGCAUGAACAGAUAAUAACAAAACUACAAAUCCCAACUACGGCUGGAAGUGAAUCGGAAGUGGAAUCAGAUUCUUUGGGAAACACAGAUGAAGAAGAAGAGGAAAAGGAGGAGAUUAAAGGAGACAUAAGAGAUAUCCUGAUAUAUAUGAUGAAUUAAUUAAAAGAUAUAAGAAGGAUGCAGAUUACACUCGAUAAUGUGGUGGAAAAACAAAAGAAGAUGGAUAAUAAAGUUAAAGAGAUGGAAGGAAAAAUGGAAGAAAACACUGAAAGAAUAGAUAAGAUAGAAGACAAUAAUCUUGCCUGGACAACAGAAAGAAAACGGAUGUUGGAAAAAAUAGAUGCGCUUGAAAACUCUAGUAGAUGAAAUAAUAUUAAAAUUGUUGGUCUUAUAGAAGGUACAGAGGGAGAAAAUCCAAUAAAAUUCUUCUGAAAAUUUUGGAAAUGAAAGAAGGAAGUAAUUGAAAUUGAAAGAGCACACGGAGCUUUAAGACCAAAACCUCAACAAGAUCAAAAUCCAAAAUCAAUUUUGAUAAAAUGCUUAAGGUACCAAGAUAAAGAAAUGAUCUUGAAGGCAGCUACUCAAGGUGCUAAAAAGAGAAAUGGGCCAUUGAUGAUAGAAGGGGAAAAGAGUUUUUUUUUAGUCCAGACAUAAGUUAUGAUCUUCUGAAGAGGCGGAAGGAGUUUAAUCCAGUGAAAAAUUUUUUAUGGGAAAAGGGCUAUAAAUUUUUAUUGAGCUACCCAGCAAAAUUGAUAAUUUUCCUGGAUAAUGAAGAAAGAAGAUUUUUCGUUGACUACCGGAAAGCGGAGAAAUUUGUACAAGAACUACCUGAUAUCCACGAGGGGGAGUAAAGAAUUAUAGAAAUGAAGUGGACUAAUGACGAAGACUGAAAUAAGGUUGGACUUGAUGCACAUUUAUAAGGAAUAAGAAGAAAAAAAAAUAGUUGAGUAUUAAUUGGGAGUAGAGACAUUCAUUAUUUUCUUUUUUUUUCUUCACUAAUAUAUUUUCUUUCUUUUUUUUGCGGGGGAGCUGGAGGAGCUCCUGAUCGAUGGCUGCAAGUUUCACGUGUACAAUCAUGGCGAUUGCCAUGACCCGUAAAAUGGUGGGGGGUAAUGUUGUGUUUCUUUUUAUUCACAACAUUAGUGGGGGGGUAUUUUGUUUUUGUUUUUUUUCUUAUUUAUUAGUUACCUUUCUUCUAUUUUUCUUCUUUUUUGCCUGGAUGGCUGGGGAGAGACACAUAGCAACAUGGAGAAUUUUAAAGAGUUCCCAAGGUUUGAAGGUUCCCAGCAACUGUGAACUGGUGGUAGGGGGAGAGCCCCAGUGCUGGGCAGAAGGGCGAUGUUUGCUAUUUGAUGAUUCCUUCCUUCACACAGCAUUCCAUGGAGGUUCAGCUGAAGAUGGUCCACGG